GACGAACGCUGGCGGCGUGCUUAACACAUGCAAGUCGAACGGAAAGGCCCUGCUUGCAGGGUGCUCGAGUGGCGAACGGGUGAGUAACACGUGGGUGAUCUGCCCCUUACUUUGGGAUAAGCCUGGGAAACUGGGUCUAAUACUGGAUAGGACCAUGCUGUAGGUGGUGUGGUGGAAAGAUUAGUUUCGGUAAGGGAUGAGCUCGCGGCCUAUCAGCUUGUUGGUGGGGUAAUGGCCUACCAAGGCGUCGACGGGUAGCCGGCCUGAGAGGGUGGACGGCCACAUUGGGACUGUGAUACGGCCCAGACUCCUACGGGAGGCAGCAGUGGGGAAUAUUGCACAAUGGGCGCAAGCCUGAUGCAGCGACGCCGCGUGGGGGAUGACGGCCUGCGGGUUGUAAACUCCUUUCAGCCAUGACGAAGCCCUUGUGGUGACGGUAGUGGUAGAAGAAGCACCGGCUAACUACGUG
rnacentral:rRNA from 1 species